rnacentral:rRNA from 1 species
UACAGAGGGUGCAAGCGUUGUUCGGAAUUAUUGGGCGUAAAGGGCGCGUAGGCGGUGCGGUAAGUCUGUAGUGAAAUCUCUGGGCUCAACUCAGAGUCUGCUGCAGAAACUGCCGUGCUUGAGUGUGGGAGAGGUGAGUGGAAUUCCCGGUGUAGCGGUGAAAUGCGUAGAUAUCUGGAGGAACACCGGUGGCGAAGGCGGCAUCCUGGACCAAUACUGACACUGAGGAGCGAAAGCCAGGGGAGCAAACGGG